UCUGUAGCUCAAUGGAUAGAGCUUCUGAUUACGGAUCAGAGGGCUGGAGGUUCGAGUCCUCCCAGA
rnacentral:tRNA from 1 species